rnacentral:rRNA from 1 species
GUUUCCGUAGGGUGAACCUGCGGAAGGAUCA